rnacentral:rRNA from 1 species
UAGGGAAUCUUCGGCAAUGGACGAAAGUCUGACCGAGCAACGCCGCGUGAGUGAAGAAUGUUUUCGGAUCGUAAAACUCUGUUGUCAGAGAAGAACAAGGACGUUAGUAACUGAACGUCCCCUGACGGUAUCUAACCAGAAAGCCACGGCUAACUACGUGCCAGCAGCCGCGGUAAUACGUAGGUGGCAAGCGUUGUCCGGAUUUAUUUGGCGUAAAGCGAGCGCAGGCGGUUUCUUAAGUCUGAUGUGAAAGCCCCCGGCUCAACCGGGGAGGGUCAUUGGAAACUGGGAGACUUGAGUGCAGAAGAGGAGAGUGGAAUUCCAUGUGUAGCGGUGAAAUGCGUAGAUAUAUGGAGGGACACCAGUGGCGAAGGCGGCUCUCUGGUCUGUAACUGACGCUGAGGCUCGAAAGCGUGGGGAGCAAACAGG